rnacentral:rRNA from 1 species
GCUACACAUGCAGUCGAGCGGAACGAUGGUAGCUUGCUACCAGGCGUCGAGCGGCGGACGGGUGAGUAAUACUUAGGAAUCUACCUAGUAGUGGGGGAUAGCACGGGGAAACUCGUAUUAAUACCGCAUACGACCUACGGGAGAAAGGGGGCAGUUUACUGCUCUCGCUAUUAGAUGAGCCUAAGUCGGAUUAGCUAGAUGGUGGGGUAAAGGCCUACCAUGGCGACGAUCUGUAGCUGGUCUGAGAGGAUGAUCAGCCACACCGGGACUGAGACACGGCCCGGACUCCUACGGGAGGCAGCAGUGGGGAAUAUUGGACAAUGGGGGAAACCCUGAUCCAGCCAUGCCGCGUGUGUGAAGAAGGCCUUUUGGUUGUAAAGCACUUUAAGCAGUGAAGAAGACUCUUCGGUUAAUACCCGGAGACGAUGACAUUAGCUGCAGAAUAAGCACCGGCUAACUCUGUGCCAGCAGCCGCGUAAUACAGAGGGUGCAAGCGUUAAUCGGAAUUACUGGCGUAAGCGAGCGUAGGUGGCUUGAUAGUCAGAUGUGAAUCCCGGGCUACUGGACUGCAUCUGAACUGUAGGCUAGAGUAGUGAGAGGAGUA